CUCGAGCGCAGCGAGAGAACGUUGCGUCAGCAACGGCCCGCAGGGCGAGCCACGCAGUGGCGAGUCAUCCUCUAUCACCGACCA
rnacentral:sRNA from 2 species